UACGUAGGGUCCGAGCGUUGUCCGGAAUUACUGGGCGUAAAGAGCUCGUAGGUGGUUUGUCGCGUUGUUCGUGAAAAUUCACAGCUUAACUGUGGGCGUGCGGGCGAUACGGGCAGACUGGAGUACUGCAGGGGAGACUGGAAUUCCUGGUGUAGCGGUGGAAUGCGCAGAUAUCAGGAGGAACACCGGUGGCGAAGGCGGGUCUCUGGGCAGUAACUGACGCUGAGGAGCGAAAGCGUGGGGAGCGAACAGG
rnacentral:rRNA from 1 species